rnacentral:rRNA from 1 species
UGGGGAAUAUUGGGGCAAUGGGGCGAAAGCCUGACCCAGCAACGCCGCGUGAGGGAAGAAGGGUUUCGGCUCGUAAACCUCUGUCCUAUGGGACGAAGGAAGUGACGGUACCAUAGGAGGAAGCCCCGGCUAACUACGUGCCAGCAGCCGCGGUAAUACGUAGGGGGCGAGCGUUAUCCGGAUUUAUUGGGUUUAAAGGGUGCGCAGGCGGGCGUCUAAGUCAGCGGUGAAAGUUCCCGGCUCAACCGGGUCAGUGCCGAUGAUACUGGGGGCCUUGAAUGCGGUCGAGGCCGGCGGAAUGUGGCGUGUAGCGGUGAAAUGCAUAGAUAUGCCACAGAACACCGAUAGCGAAGGCAGCUGGCCGGGCCUGCAUUGACGCU